rnacentral:rRNA from 1 species
AUUGAACGCUGGCGGCAGGCUUAACACAUGCAAGUCGAGCGGAGCGAGGGUGCUUGCACCUUAGCUUAGCGGCGGACGGGUGAGUAAUGCUUAGGAAUCUGCCUAUUGGUGGGGGACAACAUUCAGAAAGGAAUGCUAAUAGCGCAUACGCCCUACGGGGGUAAGCAGGGGAUGUUAGGACCUUGGGAUAAGAGAUGAGCCUAAGUCGGAUUAGCUAGUUGGUGGGGUGAAGGCUUACAAAGGCGACGAUCUGUAGCGGGUCUGAGAGGGUGAUCAGACACACUGGGACUGAGACACGGCCCAGACUCCUACGGGAGGCAGCAGUGGGGAAUAUUGGACAAUGGGCGGAAGCCUGAUCCAGCCAUGCCGCGUGUGUGAAGAAGGCCUUUUGGUUGUAAAGCACUUUAAGCGAGGAGGAGGCUCUUAAGGUUAAUACCCUUGAUGAGUGGACGUUACUCGCAGAAUAAGCACCGGCUAACUCUGUGCCAGCCGCCGCGGUAAAAC